rnacentral:pre_miRNA from 1 species
CAACUACUCCCUCUGUCCCAAAUUUCUUGUCUUAGAUUUGUCUAGAUACGGAUGUAUCUAAUACUAAAAGGUGACUUGAUACAUCUAUAUCUAGACAAAUCUAAGACAAGAAUUUUGGGACGGAGGGAGCACUUU